UAUUCACGGUGCAACUUUCAGUGCAUUUUCCAGAUUGUUUCUCAGGUUUUGACUUUUUGACUCUUGAGACCAAUAAUGGACCUGCAUUCUGAAUAAACCAGGAGCGUUUUAGAUGGUCACUACUUGAUUUGAAUAGUUAACAAGUGGUUUUUUUAGGCAAUGUCAGUGUAACUGGUAACCAAUAUCAUGGUGGAUAAAACGUCAGACUUCUUAGGUCUAGCAACAAUAUAUGAUGCUGUGUUUUGUUCAAACUGGAGCUUAUUUACAAACCGCUCUCUUAGUCAUGCCGAGAGGAGGCAUCUGCCAUGCUGCACACUGCUAAUGGUUCUCCUGGGCAAUGGCAAAAUUCACAGCAAUGUUUGUGCAUGCCCAUGUGUCUGCUUGAGUGUGUGUGUGUGUGUGUUUGUUUGUGUGUGUGUGUGUGGGUGUGUGUGUUCUAUACUCCUGAGAGAUCACAUAGCAGAACAGCAUAGUAACUCGACUAUGGAAAAUAGGGUACCAGGCUUUAAGCGAAGUAUAAGAAAUAAACUUUCUCUGUCAAAAUCUC